AGUUAACCAACCCAGUCUGUGAUCUCAGUAGCAAAACUCCUAGACAAGAUCCCAUGGGAAAAUUCUUCGGAAUAUUUCCCAAAGACUCUAGCCAUUCUGUAUCAAGUGACCCCUCUGGAAAUGCAUAUGAAGCUGCUUAUUUUUCAGAACUAAAACCAUGACUAGCUAGGUGAAGCAAAGUUCCUGCUUGCUAGCUUUUGAAUAUGCAAGGGGGUGGAUCAGACAGAAGGCCAAAAAGUAUUCUCUGUCUACCUUGUAAUUUUUGUCUUAAAAAUGAAUUUUCUAGGAAAAACAUACCCAAAGAAAGUGUAUAAUAUUUCAUAUGUUCACGAUUAAUAUGUGAUCCACCUGUCUUCUUGCUGGCAGGUGUGACAGCAUCUCUAACUAUCUGGUGAACCUGGUCUUUCUGUUGAGCUCACCUGUUCUUUUUUCAUAUACCUGCUCACCAGCAUAGCUACGGAGCCCCAAACUGUGCUAGGGUAUCCACUCUCAACUCGAGAAGCGGUAGUCAGUCAGAGGAACAUGACCUCGUUCUCAUGUAAACGGGUCCUUUGGGGUGGCUUGGAAUAGAGAGACCCCCUUCUCCAACUUACACAUUAAAGAUUAAUUUGGAAUUAGCGUUUUUUCCCCUUUAUUUUUAAACAUCUCUUAGCAGUGAGUCUCAAACUGUGAUGUAAACAGGAAUCCCCCGGAGAGCUUGGGAAGAUGUUCCUACACUCCAGUCCUGGGGCUGUGGGUUAGGAGGGAUACAGUGGGAUUUGAGGAAUCUGCAUUUUAUUGAGAACUCCAAAUGAUCUGGUCCCUGUAAAUCACACUUAAAGAAACUAAACUAGGGCUAGAAUCCUUUGGUUCAAAUCCCAGCUCUGCCACUUUUUAAUCUUUGUAACUUUGGUCAAGUUAACAUAACUUCCUAUGCCUCCAUUUCCUCACGCUGUGUAUAGGGAGAAUGAUAGUAACACCUCACAGGGUUGUCAUGAGAAUUAAAUUGGUUAACCCAGAUAAAAUGCCUCCUGGACUAUUUAUUGACUGCUUCGUAAAUGUUAGCCAAAUCAGUCCAAUACGCUAUGGAUGCCUUGACUUUGACUGUUUCGAUCAGAUUGGUAUCCUGUUAACUCGUUGUUGGGAUUAACUAGGGAAUAUAUUGAGUUAGAUAGAUGUGUGUGUGGUGGGGGCGGGUGGCACAGGGAGUCACUUAGUAAAGGACUUCAGUGGCUUGUCAUUGCUUGUAAGAUAAAAACCAAAUUCCUAAACGUGGUUUCUAGGACCCUGCAGCUCUGACCUCUGCUUGCUGUCCAAGUUUAUCUCACAUCUCCCUUUUAAUCGUCCUCACUCUAAUUGGCUGCAUUUGGCUUCUUUCAAGUUUUCAAAGAUGCCACCCUUCCUCCUAGGCAGUGGGCAUCUUGGCAGGCCCUUUGCAUGUAUUGUCCCCUGUGUCUGAGACACUGUUCCCCUCACUCUCACCUCAUUAACUUUUACUCUUCCUUUAGAUCUUAGCUCAACCAUCACUUCCUCCGAGAUACCCUUCCUUACCUCACUAAGUUCAGUCUUUUUAUUAUUUGUGCUCAUAACACAAGGCUCUCCUUCAUCCCCCGUGUGAAAGUUACACUUCGAUAUUUUGUGUCUCCUCUGCUAGGGUCAUUGUGUUGCAAGGCAAAAACCAUGCUGGUUUGUUUUGUCACCAACACAGUGUUUGGCACAUAAACACUCACUAUUUGUGGAACAAACAGUUAUAUUUUGAUUAAGUUUUCAUCCAGGGAAGAGCUGGUUGGAAUGACAUGUUUCUGCAUAAAAACAGCAGCCAUUUGGACGGUCUCAGGAGGAUGAGAAGGCAAAGGGUAGGUGUCCAGAGGAGUGUAGACAGGUGAGAUUAGAAAGGUUCCACAAAGGUGGUAGAGAAAACCUGAGCUCUCCAUAGCUCUCGGAGUAGAGGUAGUCUAGACAGAGCUGGGAAAGACUGCUGGGUGCGUGGAAGGCAGAACUUGAGUGAGAAUUCCAUCACCAGUGCACAGUGGCACAAAAAGACAAAAUGGAAAGCCAGGAUUCAGAUUCUUGAAAAGGCAAAUACAACAUCAAGACCACUGGGGCCAGGGCUGAGCACCUGGAGACAGAUGGACAUGGGGUUUGGACCGGGAGUGGUUUAGGAAUAAGGGAAGUCCGUAGCUACUGUUGCUUAUGAGACUGGGUGAGAGGUAAGUGACUAGUUCACCUUGGCUCCGAGAGACACGCAAAGAGCCAGGCUCAGUUCCCUCCAAAGCCUGGUCCAUGUCAUGUAUAGCUUGAGGGCACCAGGCUUGCAGAGACCUUUAGGGAAGAGAAGGCUCUCCUUACGAUUCAUGACAAAGGGACAGAGAAUAAUUCCUUUCUCUCUGUCUUAAGCCAGAAUCAUAGUUUUCUCUGACACUUCCCAUUUACAGUCAGUCUCUGUAGAACUGAGGGCUUCCCGCAGACCCACGUGUGAGAUUACCGCCAUCUGAUCCCCAGCCCCGGGUCUGACUGGGCCAUGCAGACAUUCGUUGCUCAGUGGCGGCCCCUGCUGUUGAAGAGAAAGAUAGCAGCACAUCCAGAGUGUGACAUUAACUGGUCAUGCAACCAGAAGAAUCUGGAGCAAGCAAGGGAGGAGUCGGAGGGGAUGUAAAUGAGCCAAGGAGAUCCUCAGGGAUAUCCCUGGUGUACCGGGCGCCUUGGCCAGGUGCUAAUACAGAGAAGAAGCUGAGCCUUAAGGCUUUGUGCAUGCUUUCUUCCGCAAGCUUCCCGGUUUAGUCGCUUCAUUCCAAAGGUCGACUAGGAACCACACAGUGCCCUGGAAAAGUGCCAUUGCGAACUUUUAUUUGAGGGCUUUUAGGGAUGUUCGAUAAUAUUUUAAAAGGUAGCCCACUAAUUCUUUAGGGAAUUAGAGUACAUUUUAGUUAGAGGUGGCGGCCCAGGAGGGGCUGUGUGUGUUUGUUUACAUCCCGAGUAGGAAUCAGAGUAUGGCAACUCGGCUGGGAUGCGCUUUUGCAUGAGCGCAUUUCUGGGUAUUGUGAGCACCCUUGGCGCGCGUGUGCUGUGUGUUCAAAGUGAGGCUGUUACGUGACAUUUCUGGACAAAAAAAAAAAACUAUAUGUAAAGAAAGAGAGGGAGAAAGCAAACUCACAAUCAAAUAAAAGUAGGGGGGGGGAUGAGCUCGCAAGAGCGUCUUGUAGG